rnacentral:rRNA from 1 species
UACGUAGGGGGCAAGCGUUGUCCGGAUUUAUUGGGCGUAAAGAGCGUGUAGGCGGUUUGGUAGGUCCGCUGUGAAAGUCCAGGGCUCAACCCUGGGAUGCCGGUGGAUACUGUCGGGCUCGAGUCCGGAAGAGGCGAGUGGAAUUCCUGGUGUAGCGGUGAAAUGCGCAGAUAUCAGGAGGAACACCAAUGGCGAAGGCAGCUCGCUGGGACGUGACUGACGCUGAGACGCGAAAGCGUGGGGAGCAAACAGG